GUGAAUCAUCGAAUCUUUGAACGCAAAUUGCAUUAUCUUGGGAGAGUAGGAAGGGGGGAGGGUCAGCCGAAAAAAAAUCGACAUAGUUGCGGGGGGGAGGGGACAGGAGGCGGAAAUUGGGUCAUCUUAAACCGUUGGGUUUUAAGCGGCUUAAAAUUUUCUUUACGAUUCCACGAACGUUUCUAAGAUUUUACUUCUUACACGUUUAAGGGAGCGAUCUGUAUUAGACGUGGACGUUGAAGGGGAACACGUCCAGAAAUAUGUGGGAAACUGACCUCAUACAGGUAAGAACACCCGCUGA
rnacentral:misc_RNA from 1 species